rnacentral:rRNA from 1 species
GAUGAACGCUAGCUACAGGCUUAACACAUGCAAGUCGAGGGGAAACGACAUCGAAAGCUUGCUUUUGAUGGGCGUCGACCGGCGCACGGGUGAGUAACGCGUAUCCAACCUGCCCACCACUUGGGGAUAACCUUGCGAAAGUAAGACUAAUACCCAAUGACGUCUCUAGAAGACAUCUGAAAGAGAUUAAAGAUUUAUCGGUGAUGGAUGGGGAUGCGUCUGAUUAGCUUGUUGGUGGGGUAACGGCCCACCAAGGCGACGAUCAGUAGGGGUUCUGAGAGGAAGGUCCCCCACAUUGGAACUGAGACACGGUCCAAACUCCUACGGGAGGCAGCAGUGAGGAAUAUUGGUCAAUGGGCGGAAGCCUGAACCAGCCAAGUAGCGUGCAGGAAGACGGCCCUAUGGGUUGUAAACUGCUUUCAGUCGGGAAUAAUUCGUCGGUCGUGACCGGCGUUGCAGGUACCGUCAUAAGAAGGACCGGCUAAUUCCGUG